GACGAACCGUGCGAACGUUAUUCGGAAUCACUGGGCUUAAAGCGCGUGUAGGCGGAUGGGUGCGUCGGCUUCUGAAAGCCCCCGGCUCAACCGGGGAAGUGGGGCCGAAACGACCCGUCUGGAGGGACGUAGGGGGAUCUGGAACUUCCGGUGGAGCGGUGAAAUGCGUUGAGAUCGGAAGGAACGCCCGUGGCGAAAGCGAGAUCCUGGACGUCUUCUGACGCUGAAGCACGAAAGCGUGGGGAGCAAACAGG
rnacentral:rRNA from 1 species